AGAAAGAAAGAGAAUGAACAAGUCUCCGGAGGCCAUUUUGUACACCCAGCGCGAUGUGCGGUAUUGAUUUGUUCUGUCAACUCAGGCCAGGCACUCGGGCGAUCCAUGCCGGCGCCUGGGUUUUAACGUGCUAGGGUCAAGCAACACCAGGGGCCGCGCCGUGGACCGUCUCGCACCAGGAGUCGCGUCGACGUUGGCGUCCCGUCGAUUGAUAAGUGGUGAAGUCUCGCAACACUGUCGGGGCCGAUGGGAACGGCUAUGACACUUGACAAACACUAGCGCCGUUUAUUGAGCGUGCCUGUGGCAGUGCGCUCGGCGUUGCGCGUUUCCGCGCAUGCGCUACUCGAGAACCUGGCCAAUGGGAGCAUCCAAUACCGUGUCGAUAUACGCGCACUCUAAAAGCCGAUCCACAAUGAAGCUUUCAAACGAGAAAACUUAAGCGCAAAUAACAUGCCCGUAUGUCCAAAAUUCAUCGCCAACGCUGAAAAUCUAUGGAUUUGAGCAAUCAGCGCAGGAUCAUUUUGAUUCUGUUGCGAAAACAAGGAAUUUAAUCGAUGCAUUUUUAUUUUCUUUCCAAUAUUAAAUAAAAAAAUUAAUCUUGAAUUAGUGUGCAGCCAGUUCAGCUAAAACAAACAGAUUUAUAGUAAUGAUUAUUUAAAAUUAAGUGAAGUUAAA